AAACUUGAGAGUUUGAUCAUGGCUCAGAACGUACGCUGGCGGCACGCCUAACACAUGCAAGUCGAACGAAGUAGCAAUACUUAGUGGCAGACGGGUGAGUAACAUGUAGGUAUCUGCCCUUUGGCCUGGAAUAACACGAGGAAACUUGUGCUAAUACCGGAUAAGUCUUUACGGAGAAAGCUUUAUGCACCAUUGGAUGAGCCUGCACUUGAUUAGUUUGUUGGUGGGGUAAUGGCCUACCAAGACUGUGAUCAAUAGCUGAUUUGAGAGGAUGAUCAGCCACAUUGGGACUGAGACACGGCCCAAACUCCUACGGGAGGCAGCAGUGGGGAAUCUUGCACAAUGGAGGAAACUCUGAUGCAGCGAUGCCGCGUGAGUGAAGAAGGCCUUUGGGUUGUAAAGCUCUUUCGUCGGGGAAGAAAAUGACUGUACCCGAAUAAGAAGGUCCGGCUAACUUCGUGCCAGCAGCCGCGGUAAUACGAAGGGACCUAGCGUAGUUCGGAAUUACUGGGCUUAAAGAGUUCGUAGGUGGUUGAAAUAGUUGGUGGUGAAAUCCCAGAGCUUAACUCUGGAACUGCCAUCAAAACUUUUCAGCUAGAGUAUGAUAGAGGAAAGCAGAAUUUCUAGUGUAGAGGUGAAAUUCGUAGAUAUUAGAAAGAAUACCAAUUGCGAAGGCAGCUUUCUGGAUCAUUACUGACACUGAGGAACGAAAGCAUGGGUAGCGAAGAGGAUUAGAUACCCUCGUAGUCCAUGCCGUAAACGAUGUGUGUUAGACGUUGGAAAUUUAUUUUCAGUGUCGCAGGGAAACCGAUAAACACACCGCCUGGGGAGUACGACCGCAAGGUUAAAACUCAAAUGAAUUGACGGGGACCCGCACAAGUAGUGGAGCAUGUGGUUUAAUUCGAAGAUACGCGCAGAACCUUACCAACACUUGACAUGUUCGUCGCGACUCUAAGAGAUUAGAGUUUUCGGUUCGGCCGGACGAAACACAGGUGCUGCAUGGCUGUCGUCAGCUCGUGUCGUGAGAUGUUGGGUUAAGUCCCGCAACGAGCGCAACCCUCACUUUUAGUUGCCAUCAUUAAGUUGGGCACUCUGAAAGAACUGCCAGUGAUAAGCUGGAGGAAGGUGGGGAUGACGUCAAGUCCUCAUGGCCCUUACGUGUUGGGCUACACACGUGCUACAAUGGUAUCUACAACAGGAAGCAAGACUGCGAAGUUAAGCAAAUCCCUAAAAGAUACCUCAGUUCGGAUUGCACUCUGCAACUCGAGUGCAUGAAGCUGGAAUUACUAGUAAUCGUAGAUCAGCGUGCUACGGUGAAUGCGUUCCCGGGUCUUGUACACACCGCCCGUCACACCAUGGGAGUUGGUUCUACCUUAAGGCAAGGUUUCAAACCCUUGACCACGGUAUAGUCAGCGACUGGGGUGAAGUCGUAACAAGGUAGCCGUAGGGGAACCUGCGGCUGGAUUACCUCCUUU
rnacentral:rRNA from 1 species